rnacentral:rRNA from 1 species
GCGUUGUCCGGAUUUAUUGGGCGUAAAGAGCUCGUAGGCGGUUCAACAAGUCGGUCGUGAAAGUUCAGGGCUCAACCCUGAAAUGUCGAUCGAUACUGUUGUGACUAGGAUACGGUAGAGGUGAGUGGAAUUCCAUGUGUAGCGGUGAAAUGCGUAGAGAUGUGGAGGAAUACCAGUGGCGAAAGCGGCCCCCUGGAUCGAUACUGACGCUAAGGUGCGAAAGCGUGGGGAGCAAACAGGAUUAGAUACCCUGGUAGUCCACGCUGUAAACGAUGUCAACUAGCCGUUGGAAGGGUAAUCCUUUUAGUGGCGUAGCUAACGCGCUAAGUUGACCGCCUGGGGAGUACGGUCGCAAGAUUAAAACUCAAAUGAAUUGACGGGGGCCCGCACAAGCGGUGGAGCAUGUGGUUUAAUUCGACGCAACGCGAAGAACCUUACCUACUCUUGACAUCCUCGGAACUUUCCAGAGAUGGAUUGGUGCCUUCGGGAACCGAGUGACAGGUGCUGCAUGGCU